UAUCGCUGCCCUCCUUGGGCGUUUCCUCCCUAGACUUGGGCCGUACAUGUAAAUGUGCGGCCCCUUUUUUAUGGUCC
rnacentral:sRNA from 1 species